rnacentral:tRNA from 1 species
GGGGAUUUAGCUCAGCGAUGUAAGCACCUGCCUGGCAAGCACGUGGUUGAGUUCAAUUCCCA